CCCAGCAGCUGAAGCUGCUCCAGGACAUCUCGUUGCAUCUCCACAGCCAUGCGGUGCACGUGAUGGUCAGAGCUGUUAUACAUCACUGCAUUCUGGAACAUCAGCAUGAGGUCCCGCUGGAAUUGGGCUGUGGUCCAGAUCUGGCCCUUGGACAGGCGCCUCUUUAUGUUGGUUAAAUCCAUGGGUCUGGAAGGAGGCAUGAAACUCAACUGUACAUACCUAAGGACUCCCCUAACCUUGCCUGGAUGGGGGUGGGCACCCUCUUCCUGAGAUGGAGGUCUCAUUUUUGUCUCCCUGCAGCCCCAAACACUGGAAUGCUUAGGCCCAGUUCUCAAGAGGAAAAUGGCAAGAGCUUAAGAAAGCCGGAAAGAAACUGCGGAUUUGGGUGAUCUAUAUCACACAGCUAAUUAACUUGCCAAGCCACUAGCAAUUAUUUCUGAAAAGCCAAAUGUGACACUGAGCAGAAAAGGAAAGAGGUGUGAUCCUGGUAAUUAGCACCUGUCAAAUCAACCCCAAUUCCUUUGUGAUUGAAAAUGGCACAUGUUAAGAAAAAUAUCUAUAAAGAACGAGAAUCUAAUGGUCCCAAGGGAAAAAGCAGUGGUGGUGAGGGGGUGUGUUAUAAGGACUAAAUCUUAUUUACUUUCUUUUGAAAUCAUUACAGAAUUGAUGGGUGAAGCAGGAGGUGGAAGAGGAUGACCGUGAUUAGAAACACGGGCCAGAAAUAGAAUGAGCAUCAUCUUUAAAAAAUGUACUUAAUCCAUCUGGGGGAAAAAGGAUCUGAAACUCAGAUCCUCACUUUGCAAGGGGAACCUUGCAAAACGGGAGUGACUGGGAGACUAAGGAGAGGAGAACUGCAAAUGAGACAAGUUUACAACACAAUAUGAUGAUACAACAACAUCAGUGCAAUUCCAGGGCAGCCUGUACCUGGCCCUCCCCAUACAGCCCUGGAGCCUGCACUUGGAGUACUGCUGUCAGUGCUCGGCACACAUUACUAGAACCCCAGGCAAACUGGAGGGAGUACAGAGAAGUGCAACCAUAUGCUGAAGCAGUGAGGGGGCGAGAGAGUAUAAAACAAGUCCUGGACAAAAGGCUAGCUUCACAAAGGGACUUUGGGUGCCUAAGUCCAACACCUAGGCACCACUGAAUGUCACAACAAAAGAGGUCACUCACUCUGUGCAGUAAUUGUUGUUCUUUGAGAUAUGUCCCCCUAUGUGUGUGCCUCUUCAGCUAUGCAGGAGCCUUGCAAACCCUUGAUCAGAGCUUUUCCAUUAGCAGUGUAUGGUCGGCCCACACAUGCACUCUGUACAACCUUGUGCUGCACACUGAGGGACUAUAGGGCUGCACGGGUGAACUGCCCCCAGUUCCUUCUCUAUCUGACUGCCCAAGAAAGAGGGGAAGGAGGGUGGGUAGUGGAGCACCCACAGGGGGACACAUCUCACAGAACUACCAUUACUGCACAGGCACUACUCUCCUUCUCUGAGUAGUGUCCCCACGGGUGCCCCACUUCAGGUGCUUCCUGAGCAGCACCCCACAGGGAAGAGGGCGCUUCAGAAUGGAGUCCAAGGCUGAAGCGGUACUGGAGGACCAAGUGCCACAUCAGCUCUGAUGCUGUGGACCAAGUGUUUAGACAAAGUAUACACUGAAGCCCAGUAGCAGCUGGGCAUAUCUCAGAGUGUUUUUGAGCCAAGUGGUGGAAGUUGCCUGUGAUUGGCCAGAGGGUGCUUUUAUCCUUUGGGGUAGGAGGCAGACCACCAUCUGCAUUGUAGCAAGCGACCACACACCCGAAGCGCCAUCUCAACAGUCUCUGCGUAAAGAUUGUGAACCACUUGGUCUUUCUGUGCUGGAGUCAGUCUAGGUGAUUUCCAAAAUAGCUUGGUCCUAUCUAGAUAAAAGGCCAGUGCCCGUCUAACAUCUAAAGUAUGAACAGAUGUUUCAUGCUGAGAUUUACAUCAUUUGGGGAAAACACUGGUAGACGAAUCCCUUGGUUAAGAUGAAAAUCCAACAAUACUUUAGGUAAGAAUUUAGGGUGCAACCAUAAAGGGACCCAGAUUUGAAUAUCCUGUGAAGAAUUUGAGAGUCCAGCUCCCAUCUGUAGUCCUGGGAGAAGUGCCUGCUGAUCAUAUUGUCUGUGAUAUUCUGGAUUCCAGGAAGGUAAACGACUGAGAUAUGAAGAAGUUACUCACCUUGUGCAGCAGCGAUGGUUCUUUGAGAUGUGUGUCCCUAUGUGAGUAACUUCCUCUUCUUCGUCAAGUAGUGUCCCUGUGGAUGCUCCACUGAGGUGACUGCUGAGCAGUAUCCCGCACUGGAGGCUGGGGCUUCAGAGUUGAGUCUGCUAUAGCUAAUAGCACCAUGGCACCAAAUCUGGCAUCUGACUGCAGCAGAGUCCCUCAGGAUGGCAUAGUGUUCUGCAAAGGAAUGUGCAGAUGCUCAGGUAGCUGCUCUGCAUAUUUUGGAUAUAGGGAUACCCUUGGAGAAGGCGACAGACGAGGAAACCGAUGUCGUAGCGUGUGUGUGGACUGUGGAUGGAGGUGCUAAAUUAUGAAUCUGAUAACAGAGUUUGAUCCAGUUUGAGACCCAUUUGGAGAGUCUUUGAGCUGAAAUUGCUGUGCCUUUAGACCUGUCCAUGAUAGAGAGGAAGAGUCUCAGAGAUUUUAUAAAGUUUUUGUCCUGUCCAAAUAGAAGUCCAAGGGUCUCUUUAUGUCAAGUGUAUGGAGGAUGGCUUCCCUAUUAUCCUGAUGAGAUUUGGGAUAAAAGGUCGGAAGGUGAAUGAGCUGGUUUAUGUGAAAUGCUCAAGUCGCUUUGGGGGUGAACUUCAGAUGUGGUCUGAGGGUGACUUUGCCAUGGAAGAACACUGUGAAGGGUGGAUGCGCCAUCAGAGCCACUAUCUCCCCAAUCCUUCUUGCUGAGGUGAUGGCGAUCAGGAACACCGUCUUCAAGAAAAGGUGAGUCAGAGAACAAGUGUCCAUGGGUUCAAAGGGCGGUAUAGUCCUUUUAAAAGUAGACUGAGAUCCCAUUGUGGGGUAGGAAGCCUGGGUUGGGGAAAGAGGUUCGCUAGGCCUUUGAGAAACCUCUUUGUUGUCAGGUGGGAGAAAACUGAGUCCCUUCUAUUUGCUGGAAGGUUGCUACUGCUGUUAAGUGUACUUAUAGCGAGCUAAUAGAGUCCCAAUAUCUUGAGAUUCAGCAAAUAAUCUAAGAUUACAGGUAGAGUGGCCGUAUCCGGAGUGACUCCUAUGGGCUGGCACCAAAUUCGAAAUCUGGUCCACUUUUGUAGGUAAGUAUGCUGGGUAGGCAUUUUCCUGCUGUGUAAUAACACUUCCUGUACCUCUUCAGAGCAGUAUGAUUCUAUGUGCUGGAAUCAUGAAGGAACCAGGCCUUGCGGUUGAAGGGGCACCUCCAUUAGGAGAAGCUUAAGUCUCAGUUCUCUAGCCUUUCUGCACCUGAGCUUCAGUUGUUGACAUAAGCCACACUUAUGUGGUUCUCUCCCAGACAGCAGAGCAGGGACGCAGACACAUCUACAGUGCAGCACCCACAGGGACACUUCUUGAAGAAGAAUCUGAUGGGCUAUACACCAGUUCCACAACUUUAUAGCUUUGACACACAGGGAAAGGGAUCUUGCACCUCCCCAUUUGUUGAUACAGAAUAUGCAACCCACGCUUUCUGUCAUGAUCCUGAUUGAUUUGCCCCGAUGAAGCAUCGGAACUGAAAGCAGGCAUUCCUGACGGCCCUGAGUUCCAACAGGUUGAUAUGAAGACCUGUUUACUCAGAUCACCAUCUGCCCUGAGUUGUGAGGAUACUGACGUCUGCUUCCCACCCUCACAGUGACGUGUCCAUCGUCACAGUUAUCAGUGGAGCGGAGCGGAUGAAAGGGACGCCCAUGCAGGCACUGAGCUGAUUUUUUCCACCAGUCUAGGGAGUCCUUUACCUGGAGGGGAACUGUGACCUGUUUGUCCAAAGCUGUCUCUGGUUGAGGAAUAGAACCUUCUGAACUAGCCCUGAAAGCAGUGGUGGUGUAAUCUUCCAUGUUUAGUUAAAAGAUGCUAGCUGCCAUAUGAUUUCAAAGUUGUAAAUAGUUCCUUAUAGUAGUUUGGGGUCUUCCUUGAAUUAUCACAGAUUUGCCUAGGUUAUGAAUCCAUUCACAGGAAGGAAGGUUCUGGCUGCUAAUGAAUCCAAGUAUGCCCUUAUGAAUUGUAUUUUCUGUACUGGAACUAACAUAGAUUUUUUUUUACAUUUAGCUGGAGACCCAAGUCCUGGAAGAGAGCAAGAGCUGUCUGGGUGGAGGUCCACACUGCUGUGUAAGAUCGGCCCUUGAGUAGCCCGUUAUCGUGACACAGGAAGUCUAAAAUUGCCUGUCACUGAAGGGGUAUUUUAUGUCCAGAGACCCCAGUGUGGCCCUGUAGUUUUCGAGAAGAGCUUCUGACCAUCAAAUGAGAAGUCCUCACCAGUAUUCUGAACCGCUCUCGAAAACCCUGAUAGAUGCAGCCAUGAAACCCUGUGCAUAACAACUGCUGUGGAGAUGGAUCUGGCGGUCAUGUCCGAAGCAUCUAAGGACACUUGGAGAGGUUCUGGCUAAUCACUGACAUUUCCUGAUGAUGGCCUGAACGAGUUCUCUAUGUUCCUGUGGAAGAUGUUCAAU